UGGGCUUUGCCGACCUCUGGCUCCUCUCCGUGUCCAUAGCCGAUAGCUUUUCCCUCCUGCUCUACGCAGGGCCCCCUCUCCUGUCCACAGCCCGAAUUGCAUCGCCCCACUCGUUUACCUGCUUCUGCAAAUGAAUAUUGCAUGCUCGUGUUUUGCUUUGAGGUUGACAAUACCGUGAUCCAUCCCACUCCGAGGUGGAUUACAGGGCUGUUCCACAUAUGUUAGUGAAGACAAUGGGUGUAAAAGAAAAAUUAAAAUAUUACAUAGAAAAGCAGGACAAUUUAUGGCAGGUUAUUUCUAAGUGGAUAUCCUAAGGAAACAAGGCUUCUGCAUCUACCCUGUAUCUCAGCUGACCCCUUAUAAUGAUGGAAACCCAUUUCAGACAAAUCUGGCAGAUGGACAGAGAUCUCAAACAUAGUUGCAACCAGCCACUCCACGAGCCACCCCAUGUCCUGCAGUGAGGAAAUGGAGGGGCAACGGGGGAGCAGAGGAGAUAUGGAGGAGGAGGAAGCUGGAGGACCACAAGGAUGUUCAAAUCACCAGGAAAGGAGGUUUCACUGGGACAACUAACAGAUCAACUUAUUUCAUCCCUCCCUUGUAGCUCAUAGUGCUUUAGAGCCAUGUUAUUUGGAUUGACUUUGGCAGCAGGUAACUAGAUCGAAAUGCUGUCUACCCAUCUGUUGUGUUGAUUACUAUAAUUUCUUUCCCGAUGUGUUGUUUGUGUCAUGUUUGGAUGUUAUUUUGAGAUUUUUAUGUCAAUAAACAUGACAAUAACUACCAGAGCAUACAGAUCUUUCCCCCUCUGAAGA